UACGUAGGGUGCGAGCGUUGUCCGGAAUUACUGGGCGUAAAGAGUUCGUAGGCGGUUUGUCGCGUCGGUCGUGAAAACUUGGGGCUUAACUCCAAGCGUGCGGGCGAUACGGGCAGACUUGAGUACUACAGGGGAGACUGGAAUUCCUGGUGUAGCGGUGAAAUGCGCAGAUAUCAGGAAGAACACCUAUGGCGAAAGCAGCUCUCUGGGACGGUACUGACGCUGAGACGCGAAAGCGUGGGGAGCGAACAGG
rnacentral:rRNA from 1 species